rnacentral:rRNA from 1 species
AUACGGAGGAUCCGAGCGUUAUCCGGAUUUAUUGGGUUUAAAGGGUGCGCAGGCGGCCAUUUAAGUCAGCGGUUAAAUCGUGGGGCUCCACCCCAUUCUGCCGUUGAUACUGGGUGGCUUGAUUGCGGUCGAGGUUGGCGGAAUUCGUUGUGUAGCGGUGAAAUGCAUAGAUAUGACGAAGAACACCGAUUGCGUAGGCAGCUGACCAGACCGCAAAUGACGCUCAUGCACGAAAGUGCGGGGAUCGAACAGGAUUAGAUACCCUGGUAGUCCGCACAGUAAACGAAGAAUACUUGUUUUCGGCGAUAUAAUGUCGGAGGCAAAGCGAAAGCGAUAAGUAUUCCACCUGGGGAGUACGCCGGCAACGGUGAAACUCAAAUGAAUUGACGGGG